UACGCGAGGGGAUAGAAGGAAAACGAAAAUCGGAAGGGGAAACGUCCGACGCGCCGUUCGUGAUACGAAUGAUGGAAGAACGCACCGGAAAUAGAACACACGCGGAGAGCUUGACGGAGCUGUACAGGCGACGUGAAAAUACGGCGAGAGACGCCGUUCGACCGAUCCGUCAGCGUUUAGAUUAGAUGCGAAAUGUAUAGGUCCUACCGUGAUAUAACACUCGAUGCUCACUAUUCGAUGGCGUGUAGGGCGGCAGGGAAGUUG